ACUCCUACGGGAGGCAGCAGUGAGGAAUAUUGGUCAAUGGAGGGAACUCUGAACCAGCCAUCCCGCGUGUAGGAAGACGGCCUUAUGGGUUGUAAACUACUUUUAUACAGGAAGAAACGUACCCUCGUGAGGGUGCCUGACGGUACUGUAGGAAUAAGCACCGGCUAACUCCGUGCCAGCAGCCGCGGUAAUACGGAGGGGUGCGAGCGUUAUCCGGAUUUAUUGGGGUUUAAAGGGUCCGUAGGCGGAUUAAUAAAGUCAGUGGUGAAAUCCCAUCGCUUAACGAUGGAACUGCCAUUGAUACUGUUAGUCUUGAAUGAGGGUGCAGUGGUUGGAAUGUGUAGUGUAGCGGUGAAAUGCAUAGAUAUUACACAGAACACCGAUUGCGAAGGCAGAUCACUAACCCUAAAUUGACGCUGAGGGACGAAAGCGUGGGGAGCGAACAGGAUUAGAUACCCUGGUAGGUCAGUC
rnacentral:rRNA from 1 species